AAGUGGAGACCAGAAGCCAUGGGGAGGGGGAGGGGAACUGCUCUGACCAGCCCAGUGGACCUGGAGAAGCCAGCUUUUAUGUGGCCUUUUCUGGGUCAGCAGCUAGGGUUCCUCUUUCAGCUAAACCACAGUUCUCCAUUUUGUUUCUUUUAGCAGCCUUAGAAGAUAACUUUCUAAGUCACCAGGGCAUCAUUUCAAUGGCUUCUUUAUCAAAAGAGUAAAGGGACCUCCUCCUCUACUCCCAGAGAGCAGUUGACAGGGAGGGAAUUUCCCCUCCAAUGGGUGUGAUUUUCCUAUGGCAAAGACAAUCUGCUAGGAGCUCUGCAAAGACACUAAUGUCCUUGAGGAGCUUGAGGCUGAAGACACCACUAUCUGUGCAUUCGUCAACGUGAGGUUUUCAAUACUGUUGCUUAAAAUGUAUUUAGUAAUUGAAGGGAAACAUACUACCUUCAAUUGAGUUGAGGAGGAAGAAAUGGAAAAUGAUUCACUGGCUGUCUUCAGAGGGGUCAGCCUCCAGCAAAUGCCAUCUCUGAAAAGAUAGGAAGCAAUCAGCGGUCUUCGGUCCCAAAGCACGCGUCUCCUCACACACGCUUCUCACUUCCUAGGUUAAUGUCACCUGCUCUCCGUUAUCCGUACUUCAAAGGACUGGGUCACCGCUGCUGGUGCCGGGAACUUGCGUGAACCUCGGCCCAGGCGGCACAACCGUUAGAGUGACUGUGGCUUCCUUCGUGACUGCGGGCGGAGGCCACUCACAGCCACUCUGCCACCGUGCUAACUCUGAGCCCUCGUUUUCUACCAGACGCCUCUCAAGAAAAUUAAUAAAUGAC